rnacentral:rRNA from 1 species
AUUGAACGCUGGCGGCAUGCCUUACACAUGCAAGUCGAACGGCAGCACGGGAGCAAUCCUGGUGGCGAGUGGCGAACGGGUGAGUAAAGUAUCGGAACGUGCCCAGUCGUGGGGGAUAACGUAGCGAAAGUUACGCUAAUACCGCAUACGAUCUAUGGAUGAAAGCGGGGGAUCGCAAGACCUCGCGCGAUUGGAGCGGCCGAUAUCAGAUUAGGUAGUUGGUGGGGUAAAGGCUCACCAAGCCGACGAUCUGUAGCUGGUCUGAGAGGACGACAGGCCACACUGGGACUGCGACACGGGCCGGACUCCUACGGGAGGCAGCAGUGGGGAAUUUUGGACAAUGGGCGCAAGCCUGAUCCAGCCAUGCCGCGUGCAGGAUGAAGGCCUUCGGGUUGUAAACUGCUUUUGUACGGAACGAAAAGGUUUGGCUUAAUACGUUGAACUCAUGACGGUACCGUAAGAAUAAGCACCGGCUAACUACGUGCCAGCCGCCGCCGUAA